rnacentral:rRNA from 1 species
CGGCGUGCCUAAUACAUGCAAGUCGAACGGCUUUUCUAUGGAAGCUUGCUUCCACUGAGAAGAUAGUGGCGAACGGGUGAGUAACACGUGGGUAACCUGCCCAUAAGAGGGGGAUAACAUCCGGAAACGGGUGCUAAUACCGCAUAGUUUUCUUGAUCGCAUGAUCGGGAAAGGAAAGACGGCCUUUGUGCUGUCGCUUAUGGAUGGACCCGCGGCGUAUUAGUUAGUUGGUGAGGUAACGGCUCACCAAGACGAUGAUACGUAGCCGACCUGAGAGGGUGAUCGGCCACAUUGGGACUGAGACACGGCCCAAACUCCUACGGGAGGCAGCAGUAGGGAAUCUUCCGCAAUGGACGAAAGUCUGACGGAGCAACGCCGCGUGAGUGAAAGAAGGUUUUCGGAUCGUAAAACUCUGUUGUCAGAGAAGAACAAGUUGGAGAGUAACUGCUCCAGCCUUGACGGUAUCUGACCAGAAAGCCACGGCUAACUACGUGCCAGCCGCCGC